UACGUAGGAUGCAAGCGUUGUCCGGAAUUAUUGGGCGUAAAGAGCGCGCAGGCGGUUUUUCAAGUCAGAUGUGAAAUAUCCGGGCUUAACCCGGAGGGGUCAUUUGAAACUGAGAAACUAGAGUACAGCAGAGGAUAGCGGAAUUCCCGGUGUAGUGGUGAAAUGCGUAGAUAUCGGGAGGAACACCAGUGGCGAAGGCGGCUAUCUGGGCUGAAACUGACGCUGAGGCGCGAAGGCUAGGGGAGCAAACAGG
rnacentral:rRNA from 1 species